UACAGAGACUGCAAGCGUUAUUCGGAUUCACUGGGCGUAAAGGGUGCGCAGGCGGCCGUGUGUGUGAGGCGUGAAAGCCCGGGGCUUAACCCCGGAAUUGCACCUCAAACUACAUGGCUAGAGCAUUGGAGAGGGUAGCGGGAAUUCACGGUGUAGCAGUGAAAUGCGUAGAUAUCGUGAGGAACACCAGAGGCGAAGGCGGCUACCUGGACAAUUGCUGACGCUCAGGCACGAAAGCGUGGGGAGCAAAAGGG
rnacentral:rRNA from 1 species